rnacentral:lncRNA from 1 species
GGGGUCUCCUGGAAGUCUGGGGUCCACUCUAGCAGGUCCUCUGGGAGGACUGAGGUCUCAGCAGAGGGGGUGGAGGGAACAGGACCCAGGGCAUCCGCCAAGCCCUAGGAGAUGCCCAGCUGUGUCUGGCCAGCCAGGACUCCCUGGGGUAGAGGGAGGGGUCCAGGAAGGAUCCCUGGAGGAAGAGGAGGAGCUGCCACCCCACCUGGGUUCCCACUUAGGGAAAAAGCAAAGCCACAUCAGAUGGGUCUGACACCAGAGGCAGGCCCGGCCCUGGGGCCCAGCCAGGACUGGAGUGUGAGGGCCUGCCUCUCACCUGGGGACACAGAGACUAGAAGGUGUCACUGAUGGCCAGGCUGCCUGCUCUGCAAAGGAACAGCCAGCCUGCGUGAGCAAGAGCCCGUGUGGGCACCAAGGCCCUCGCUGUGUGGCCUCUGGAGCUGACCGCCAGCCGGUCCCAGCCCUGACCUUGGCCCAGAAUCCACCAGGGCGGGGCCUGUGAACAGGGCCAACUCGGGCCUCCUCCGCCCUCUCUGGAUGCCUGCCCUUCAGCACUGGGCCUGCCAGGCAGACAGAUGGACACAUGCUUGAGGAAGCACAGGAUUUAUCUGGGCGAAGGGUUCACGCCCUGAGCUCCGGAGCCCCUGUCCAGGUCGCGCCAGGUUCAGAGUUGACUGGCUGCCAGUGGAACAGAGUGCACUUUGCUCAUGAAGCCCUUGUCAUUGGACAGAUAGGCCCCUCCAGGUCCUCCCUGUCCUGUAAUAAACGUUGCCGCUGUGAAUGGCGCUGCUGGACAUCCAUCCUCUCCUUCGGAAGGUGCGUGGGGGAAAUGCUCUCGUGGUGUCCCGCUCUGCACCCACACCACCACAGCCGUCACAGAAGGAGGCUUUUGUUCAAAUGUUGGGGGGGUUGUUCCCCACACACCAAGCUGGGUGUCCUCUAAUUCAUUUCCUUCACCAUCUACCUGGAGACAGUGUCAGAUCCCACAGGGUGAGAGCUCCCUCCCAAGACGGCCUCCAGACACAGACGGGGGCAGGGCCUCCAGACACACACCAGUCGCAAGCCUGGGCCUCUGGAACUUCUGACCAACUGGCUUCAAGUUGGGGUUCCUAUGACACCCGCUUUGGGUUUAAUUUGGUGUAGCCACUCAUAGAACUCAGGGAGGCCGGGCGCGGUGGCUCACGCCUGUAAUCCCAGCACUUUGGGAGGCCAAGACGGGCAGAUCAUGAGGUCAGGAGAUCGAGACCAUCCUGGCUAGCCUGGUGAAACCCCGUCUCUACUAAAAAUACAAAAAAAUUAGCCGGGCGGCGGGCGCCUGUAGUCCCUGCUAUUCAGGAGGCUGAGGCAGGAGA